GGUCAGCCGUCAGUAUUUGAAUCCCACUUGAAAGUUGAAAAUUUGAAUCCAAUUUUGGCAAUUGGCAGUUGGAACCACGUUGGAACCACAGAGCAAGUAAUGCAAGUAAUAUGUUGGAACUUGGAGUUUGGACUAUAGAAUAUGAUUUAUGAUCUGCGCUUUCCUGAUAAAAAUGUAUUUUGUGAUAAAUCUAAUGGUUUUCGUUCUGUAAAAGUGCGCUGGAACCAGGCUCUGACCAAACCGCAAAAAAUAAUGGUCGAUAUAAACUUACGGCCAUCUGAAAAUCUUGAAAAAACAAAGGAGGUCGUGCUUCUUGGGUGGAGGUUUCAAAUUCACAACCGGCUAAAUUGGAUCAUGCUGACUACCAAUUGGAUUGUUGUGCAUAUACUACCUACAUAAAGAGGAGCAAAUGUGGGAGGAUAUUUAACAGUUGUGGUCUUAAUAUCAAGAAAAAGAAAAUUCACCAAUAAGGUUACCCAUAAAACUUCUGAUGUGCAUUUAAAUCAUCCAUGUCGAGGCACAGCUUAGGACUUUCAAGUAAAACCUUUCGGGGAUAGUGGGUACUGUGUACAGGUGCAUGUGUAUGGCUGAGGUUCAUAUAUAUCUUUUCUGCCAUUUUUUUUCUGCUUUACUAGACGUUUUCUCAAGUGGUGGCUGCUUUGUUGAUAAGUUAAUGAUUUGUGAGCUUGUUUGCUGAUCUUGGUUGAUGUUGAUCCGCAACAUGCUAUUCAUUGUAUGAGUGCAUUCCAGCUCAUGAAGAGCACAUAUGUGCUUGCUUAUAAGCUUUUGCAGAGUGAUGAAUCUUUUCAAACUUAUUUCAAAUUUUAGAAAUAUUUGAGUAUUUAUAUGAAUAUUUUGUGGUAUGUUUUACUAAAAUAUACUACAAAAAUUUUCUAAACAUCUUCAUCUUAACAAGUCCAAAUUAAAAUGAAAAAUUUAUUUUUUCUGUGAAUAAUACCACUGCUGAUUAAAAUCUGCUCUUUAAAAUAAUGUGAUUUGCUGAAUGCCUUCUUUUUGAGCAUAUAAAAUGUGCUUUUGCAGCAUUGUUGCUUUCGUCCAUUGGUACAAAUGAUUGGGUGUAGCUAUCGCUUUAUUUGACACUACCACUAGUUGGAUUCGCCAGACAUGUCAAGUUGCUUCCUAUCACAUAGCCCUUUACCAUGUAAAUCUCCCUCCGUACAGAAAUCCUGUUUAAAAUAAAACAGAUCAAUAAUUUACUUAAACCUGUUUUGAAAUGGUGGGGUGCAUGGUGACAUCUAUGACUUCUUCUUUAAAGUUAUAUUGUAUUUUCAGUUUACGGGGGGUAACAGUGGAGGGAGGGGAUAUUCUAUUAAGUAUAGUGUUGAUGUUAAUAUUAUAAAAUAUUAGAAGAUAUAAAAUUUUGCAGCGUCAUGUUUUAGUUCAUUAUAAUUUCGAGAGAACUCUG